GAUUGCAACAUAGCGUGUUGUUUUGACUUUAACAGAGUGAUGAUAUACAAGCCUUCCAGGAUGUGUAUGAAAAAGUCUACCGAUGCUGUCGAGGGUUUUAUGAUAGUGUUACAUCGUGAGAAUUUUAAGACUUCUACAAUUUAGAGCUCAAAGAUUGUUAAAAUAUUGACAAUAUACCAUAUGUUAUUGUAAAUAUCAUGCCAAGCAAUUUUAUUUUACAUAAGCAACUUAAUAAAGUUAUUGUAUGGAAGAUGUGUUUUUUACAUAGACUUUUAUCUUUGUUAUAUAAUAUUAGUUAUCCAGUUGUCAAAUUUUGACAAAACUGUAUAUAUGGAAAUAUGGAGGAAUUAAAAUACAGUCUUUCCCAUUCCUAUACCUUUUGUGUUUGAAAUAGAAGAAAUUAAAGAAUUUGAAAAUGCUGAGAUCUAAAUAAUGAUCUGUUAAAUCAUAUUACUUUUUUUUUUAACUGUAGAGACUUUAAAUACCUAUCAUAUAGCAUGGUAAAGAACUUCCAUUCUUUAUUUAAUGGAAAAUUGGUUAUGAAUCAAUCUUGUUGUCCACUGAUUUAGUUGUUGUUUUCCCUUUUAAAGCUAUGCAUACAUAAAAAUGCAUUGUGUUUUUACACAUACAAGAUCUAAUAAAAAUAUACUGAAAACUGGAA